AAAAACCCAAGAGGCCCCAAGAGGACUAAUGAUUUACCUCCAAGGAUUGUAGAUAUCAGGGUCCACUCACUCUGCCAUUAUUCAGCUUUGCAAAACCAGUCAUAAACUCAGCCCAUUCCUUCCUUCCUCUCUCCUUCUAACAAUAUGAAUUCAUGAAAAUUAACUUCCAGUAGAUUCAAGCAUAAGCGAAGUUCUUAUUUUCUUAUUUGAUUGGGAGAAUAAAAUGUAUUGAGCAUUUGGGUGAGAUUGAAACUCCAGAAAAAUGGCGGAAUGUGGGACUGUGCCAUCGAAUUUUAAGCUGCAAUUGCAAACAAAUGGGUCUUGGUUCAAACCCCAGAAUUCAUACCCCAAAAAUUUUCCAAGCAGAAAUUAUAGGUCUGCAUCACUUCCUUCAUGGAGAGUCAGCAAGCGUAGUACUAUGUCUGUUGCAGUUACUUUCAGAACUCCUGUUUUUAAUGGAAGUCCCAUGAGGUGUAGCUGCUUGGGAACUAUGAUAGACUUUGAGAGUGCUGCUGCAUCUAGCUGGGUUCCUGUCAUUGACCAAGUGCUUCUGACUGCUAGUGUAUUCUUUGCUUAUAUGGCUGGAGUCAUUCCUUCUGGGGGCUCUUAUAUAAGAUCCCAAAAGAACAAGUCAAAUGACCUGCUGCUCCCUGAAACUCCCAUCUUUUUUGGUAGUACAACAGAAAAGGAAGAUCAGCUUGGUUGUCACUGUUCCUGGGAUGCAGUGAAAGGGAAAAUCACAAAGUCUCUUCUAGCUAUUGAAAAUGGUGUUAGUGUGGAAGAAAAUACCAAAGAAUAUGAAUUAGAUCGUGCAAAGAGGCCUCUUAAUUUGUAUGCCGUUGCCAUUGGUCCCAGAUUCAGGUUGCUUUUGUCUUUGGUUGAGCAACUUGAGAAAAUGGUUAAUGAAAUUCCAGACACAUCAAUGGCUAUGGAAAGGGAGGAAUGGCUGGGUUUAUUUUCCUCUACAGUAAAGAAGGCUUGUCAAUCAGCUUUGUUUUCUUGGAUGGAAAAGGAGUUCAGCAUAGAAAAUUGCAAGCCUGACAAGGAGCUUUUGCUGUCUAUGUCAGAGAAGUUGAGAGGAGAAGAUAUCAUCUUAGGAGAUUUUAGAAAAUCCGGCAAGAUGGAUCUUUUUGCAGAUUUGAUAGGUUUUUUCAGAUAUGGUUGCUUUAGGGAAUGGAGCUACUAUGAUCAUAAUGUUUAUCCCUUACAUGGAGGUGCUAUAUUGGAAGAUCUAAUUAUUACUCUCGCUGAUGCAAUAUCAAGUAUAUAUUUGGAGGUUAUAUCUGUAGACAGUGACAUUUCUGAAAAGAUUAGUAACUUUGGGCUGUCCUUGUGUACUUUGUCGACCAGAGAUUUGCAGAAAUUAAGAAAUGAGCUAUGCGUGAGUGGAUUCACCAGAACUUUGGAGAAAUUGUAUUAAUGUAUGAGGAUCGAUUCGACCUGCGAAUACUAAAGACUGAACCUUAUCGUGAGUCGGCUGAGACACUCGAGGAAAGUCAUAGUUGGUGGAGGAGACUUACUCUGAAGAAAUCUGUACAUGUGCAGUUCUCACUACGCUAUUCUGUAGUCAGUACCUUGUCUUUGACUUUAAAGCGCACAAGGGAACUAAGGGCCCUCAAAGGAUGGAAGUACUACUUCAGCCUCAUACUCGAGUUGUCUGACAUUGCAGUGCCGAUGGUGAAAGUAAUAGUUUCUCAGGUUCGCAAUGCCAUCUCUUUCUUCCUCGUUAGCUUGAUUGGACGGUCUGUAGGACUUGUAUAUACCGGAAUAAGGCAAUCUCUACGGUGGAAGUAAAGAUGACCUCUGGAACUCCCUCAUCUCAUGCUCCAAUUUUGCUUUGUUAGCUAGUAAUAUACACUUGAGUAGAUGGAUUAUAUAGGACAAAGCAACUUGCUACUCCAAUCCAGUGAUUCUUUUCUGGGCUAGUCCUAAGUUUAGCCCAGCCCAUUCUUUUUUGCUAAUUGUUGGGCCUUGAAAAUAUUAUUUGUUGUUUUGAGCAGGUCUUUGUCAUUUUUGGUGGUAAUUAUUACAGCACACCUCUAUUCAAUCGAUUAA